CCUACCGGGAGGGCAGCAGUGGGGAAGUUUUAGGUACAAUGGGCGCAAGCCUGAUCCAGCCAUGCCGCGUGCAGGAUGAAGGCCUUCGGGUUGUAAACUGCUUUUGUACGGAACGAAAAGUCUCUUUCUAAUAAAGAGGGAUCAUGACGGUACCGUAAGAAUAAGCACCGGCUAACUACGUGCCAGCAGCCGCGGUAAUACGUAGGGUGCGAGCGUUAAUCGGAAUUACUGGGCGUAAAGCGUGCGCAGGCGGUUAUAUAAGACAGUUGUGAAAUCCCCGGGCUCAACCUGGGAACUGCAUCUGUGACUGUAUAGCUAGAGUACGGUAGAGGGGGAUGGAAUUCCGCGUGUAGCAGUGAAAUGCGUAGAUAUGCGGAGGAACACCGAUGGCGAAGGCAAUCCCCUGGACCUGUACUGACGCUCAUGCACGAAAGCGUGGGGAGCAAACAGGUAUUAGAUACCCUGGUAGUCCACGCCCUAAACGNUGUACACUGGUUGUGGACUUCACUUUCNCAGUAACGAGCUAACGCGUAGAGUUGACCGCGUGGGGAGUACGGCCGUACGUAAGGUUAGAAACGUUAAAGUUAGUUAGUCCGGNGNGNGAGAGCGACGACGACGACGACGGAGGAGGNGG
rnacentral:rRNA from 1 species